rnacentral:rRNA from 1 species
AACGUAGGUGGCGAGCGUUAUCCGGAUUUACUGGGCGUAAAGCGUGUGCAGGCGGGUUGUCAAGUGGUGUAUGAAAUCGCCCGGCUUAACCGGGCGGGGUUAGGCCAGACUGACAGCCUGGAGUGCGAGAGAGGGGCGUGGAAUUCCGGGUGUAGUGGUGAAAUGCGUAGAGAUCCGGAGGAACCCCAGCGGCGAAGGCGGCGCCCUGGCUCGCAACUGACGCUCAGACACGACAGCAUGGGGAGCGAACGGG